CAACAUAUACAACACUUAGAACAGAGAAAGUGUUACCCUCCUUCUUCGCGGCCGGAGAAGAACGGCCUUCAACCACCGGAUGAAACUAAGUCCGGUCACCGGAAAUUGCAGAUAAAGAGAAACUCACCAGAAUCAGGUCACAAACGUCGGAAACUUACCCAAAGCGUCUAUCGACCGAAGGUAAGAUCAUCGGAUAAUAUCAAAACCCCUGGUCCGAAAGUCGGAAACCCUAGAUUUUGAAGAGCUCACCGGAAUAAGACCAGAGAUGUCGGAAAAUCACCCAAAACAUCUACUGAUACAUGAUCGGAGCCUCAAACAGUCAGAGAAGUCCCGAUUAUCCGAUUUACAUUCAUCGAAAAAUAUACGAACAGUAUUUUUCUCAGAUAACCGAAGAAAAACUUCAGUAAAAGC
rnacentral:lncRNA from 1 species